ensembl:processed_transcript
UGAUCGAUUCUGAUCAUCCCGCUGCACAACUCUGAGCAAAUCUCCCCUUGGCUGAGUUACAUCAGUUUGGAAAGUUGUUUUGGAGUUGUUGAUGAUGACGCUGCGACGCUCACAGAGGACCAGGACUCUCCCCGGACACCUCAGGGACUUCUUGCUGGAGCGACACCUCAAGAACGCGGCUGUCCUUCCUGCCCUUCGUCCCGCAGCCCCAGUCCCGCCAGUGGGUGAGUGUCUGCAGGAAGAGCCGCUGUCCAUCCACGGCCGGAGUGUGGAGGAAUACCAGGGCAUCUACCGCAGUGUGAUGGACUCCACAGUGAAGAAGCCUGCUGGCCGAUACACCCUUCAGAAAGGAUUGGAGGUAAAGCAGCGGCUGUGGGAGAAGCUGGGCCGGCCUGCGCUGCUGGAGACCGAGCAGCCUGAUGGACGUGUGCUCAUCACGGAGAUCAGGUCCGAGUCCAGCGUCCCCCCUCAGAUCAAGGUGGACAUUAGCAAGGAGCCACUGCCCAAGGAGCCCCGGAGGAAGAGGCCCAGGCACUGAGCCAUCCUAGUGCCAGAUGAAGGAUCAUGGGCACGAAGGAGUUCCUCAGACAGGAAGUGGAGACCAGUACUUUAGGAAGCCCUGCUGCUGCUGUUGCUGAGUGUCUAGAGCACCUGCAGUCCAGAUACUGGAUCUCUGCUCACCUGCACUCGACUCAACUCUGAUGCAGCACCAGGUUAAGAAAAAUGAAUAACUCUGCCCCGAAGAUCAGCAAGUUUCUCUAAGUUGACUAAUGUCUUCAUUCUGAAGAUUGUGGAGGAAUCUUCUAGGAGAAGCUUGAGUUUGAUCCAAAAUGGCUGGCCAUCCUGAAUUGGACAGACAAACCUUCAGAAACCAACCCACAGUUGCUGGAACCCCUUCGCUGGACAACAGACAACACAGCAGAUACAAAACACAUGACAAUGAUCACAG